GGCAGCUCUGAGGAUGAGAUCUGAAGCCACGGAUGUGAAAUCCACCUUGCUGGAGAUCGAGGAGUGGCUCGAUAAAUUGAUGCAGCUUACUGAAGAGGUGAUGCUUGAGAGGCAGAGGAUACUUCCUAAAAUACCUUUCAGAUCUUCUUCUUCUUCUUCUUCUUCUUCUUCUUCUUCUUCUUCUUCUUCUUCUUCUUCUUCUUCUUCUUCUUCUUCUUCUUCUUCUUCUUCUAUUUCUUCUUCUCCAUCUUCCUUUUCAUCUUCUUUUUCAUCUUCUUCUCCUAUUUGCCUCCUUCACUUCUCCUCCUCCUCUUCCUCCUCCACUUCAUCUUCUCCUCCUCCUCCUCCUCUGGGAUUUACUUGAUCCUUCCCAGAAGAAUCUCUACAAAGAUGUGAUGCUGGAGACCUACUGGAACCUCAAUGUUAUAGGUUCCUAUUGGGAAGACCAUCAUAUUGAAGAACAAGGUCAAACU